CUGCUUUACACAUGCAGUCGAGCGGCAGCGCGGGAGCAACCCUGGUCGGCGAGCGGCGUCCCGGGUGAGUAAUGCAUCGGAGCGUGUCCCGUAGUGGGGGAUACGCCGCGAAAGCGGGCUAAAUACCGCAUAUGCUCUACGGAGAGAAAGUGGGGGACUCGCAAGGGCCUCACGCUAUGGGAGCGGCCGAUGUCCGAUUAGCUUGUUGGUGAGGUAAAGGCUUACCAAGGCGACGAUCGGUACUGGUCUGAGAGGAUGAUCAGCCACACUGGGACUGAGACACGGCCCAGACUCCUACGGGAGGCAGCAGUGGGGAAUUUUGGACAAUGGGGGCAACCCUGAUCCAGCCAUGCCGCGUGCGGGAAGAAGGCCUUCGGGUUGUAAACCAGCUUUUGGUCGGGAAGAAAACGGUCCGGGUUAAUAGCUUGGAUUUUUGACCGGUACUUGACAGGAAUAAGCAACCGGCUAACUACCGUGCCACAGCCGCGGUAAUACGUAGGGGUGCGAGCG
rnacentral:rRNA from 1 species